rnacentral:rRNA from 1 species
AGAAUCAACGCUGGCGGCGUGCCUAACACAUGCAAGUCGAACGAGAAAGUGGAGCAAUCCAUGAGUAAAGUGGCGCACGGGUGAGUAACACGUGACUAACCUACCCUCGAGUGGGGAAUAACUUCGGGAAACCGAGGCUAAUACCGCAUAAAACCUAAGGGUCAAAGGAGCAAUCCGUUUGAGGAGGGGGUCGCGGCAGAUUAGUUAGUUGGCGGGGUAAUGGCCCACCAAGACGAUGAUCUGUAUCCGGCCUGAGAGGGCGCACGGACACACUGGAACUGAAACACGGUCCAGACUCCUACGGGAGGCAGCAGUGGGGAAUUUGCGCAAUGGGGGAAACCCUGACGCAGCAACGCCGCGUGGAGGAUGAAAUCCCUUGGGAUGUAAACUCCUUUCGAUCGGGAAGAUAAUGACGGUACCGGAAGAAGAAGCCCCGGCUAACUUCGCGCCAGCAGCGGC